rfam:Ixodes scapularis strain Wikel colony gcontig_1108379795964, whole genome shotgun sequence.
CCCAGGUAAGCUCAGUCGGUAGAGCGCUCCUCUGGAAAUGUAGAGGUCCCUGGUUCGAUACCACGACCAGGCA